rnacentral:rRNA from 1 species
UACGAAGGGGGCUAGCGUUGCUCGGAAUCACUGGGCGUAAAGGGUGCGUAGGCGGGUCUUUAAGUCAGGGGUGAAAUCCUGGAGCUCAACUCCAGAACUGCCUUUGAUACUGAGGAUCUUGAGUACGGGAGAGGUGAGUGGAACUGCGAGUGUAGAGGUGAAAUUCGUAGAUAUUCGCAAGUACACCAGUGGCGAAGGCGGCUCACUGGCCCGUAACUGACGCUGAGGCACGAAAGCGUGGGGAGCAAACAGG